rnacentral:misc_RNA from 1 species
AACUUUCGGCAACGGAUCUCUUGGCUCUGGCAUCGAUGAAGAACGCAGCGAAAUGCGAUAAGUAAUGUGAAUUGCAGAAUUCAGUGAAUCAUCGAAUCUUUGAACGCACAUUGCGCCCGCCAGUAUUCUGGCGGGCAUGCCUGUUCGAGCGUCAUUUCAACCCUCAAGCCCCAGCCGGCUUGGUGUUGGGGACCGGCCCCGGCCGCCCCCCAAAUGCAGUGGCGACCUCGCCGCAGCCUCCCCUGCGUAGUAGCACAACCUCGCACCGGAGCGCGGAGACGGUCACGCCGUAAAACGCCCAACUUCUCAGAGUUGACCUCGGAUCAGGUAGGAAUACCCGCUGAACUUAAGCAUAUCAAUAAGCGGAGGCU